GCGUCUAUUGACACAGCAGAACUAAUACCUUCAAUGUAUUAAUGGAAAAUUUUAGUAAAAACUAUGCUAUACCCUACGUUUAUUGGAUGUUUCGAUAGGAUUCAAUGUAUUGAAUUAACGACACCAAAUGUCUCCAAGCGGAGUCACUCUGAACAAUCGUCUUUCGCUCGCGCCUCGUACCACGCCGUAACAGAACGCUAAAAUUUUGUGCAAUAUUUACAACUCAAUAGCUUCUAAGUUGUGUUUUAGAAAACUUACUUCUUCAGCCAUCCCGUAAAUUGGCGACAAAUAACACUGUGCUAUUAAUACAGGGCUUUAAUGACAUUUCAAAAAUGAGGGGUCGCCUUUCUAGCCGCGGCGUGGCCUUCUCAAAUUAAACCGAAAUCGAUCUGAAGUGCAAACGAAUACGAAGUCGACGCAUCCGAAAAGAAUCGCCUUUACAAAGUUAUUGCUUUUCAGGCCGUUAAACCUAAUUACCGUUUCAUGGCAGACUUGAUUAAUCCUACCCUAACACUUCAAGAAACGUCGUUGUACUUCUGCUUGUUUUCGCCGGCCGUCUCCGACUUCUGCACAACGCUCUUCUACAACAACCGCGUAGAACUGAUCAAUAUGCGUGCCUAACCAUACAUCAGGGUGUUUUUACUUUGCCUUUUCCUCUCGCUAUUUAUGAUGGUAUUUCUUGUAACAAGCACAUUUAUUAUCGUUAACCUAACCAUCGAAUGUUGUCAAGCCGUGUGGAAACCUUCACAGAUUCAGGGUGAUCUCCAAAAUAAAAAAAAUGGUCGGCGCUGGUAUGGAUGGUCUGUAUUUCGUUGUUGGGUAGUUAUUAUUUAGGUUGCAGGUUGAAACAGUGAGGUCGUUUGAACGGGAACAAGAUGAUGAUAUCUGGUAUUUUCAGCGAUCUCAAAAACGUCGAAGGCAAAACGUACGUCAUAGUAAGUAACGUCCUGGAGUGGUUUGGUUAUUGUCGUCGUGUUGCUAGGUGUUGCUAUUGUCAUAGUAUUGGUGAUACAGCAACAAUCUCAACAGCUCAAUCAAACCGUCUAAAGGGCCUCAAAACGGUGACAAAAACAUAAAUCCGGUCUGGAUGCAUUUACAGUGUUUUUCGUCGUGGGCAUGACCUUUACCGUGGUCAGGAACUGAUGUUAUGUAGUAAUUCUUGGUAGGCGGCUAGCUUUGAGGAUCUUUGGUGCGAUAUCAGUACGUGCAACUUCUACGCGCUUUUGCUCGCAACUGAUUCGCCAGCAAGCGUUCAAGCUCCGUCAAAAAAGCUGCCUGAGUGAAAACAACUUCGACAUUGUCAUGCAUAAUAUCACCGAUCACAGUGGACCCUCAAGGGCGGCUACGCUUUCAAUGUAUCUAGCCAAUGGGUCCAGAUUCAGCACUUACAGAAGUCGUUUGAAGCGUUUAAAAAUUGAUUCUUUCAUCAAAAAGCGAAGAAGGAACGAGACAUCGUACGUCGUCUUUCGAUCUCUGUCUAACCUGAUUGAACCUAUCUACAUCUGGAAAAGCUGUUUCAGUCCGCACCUGGCCAAGGACCAUGGACAACAUAUCACUUCAACAAGACAAAAGCCGACUUUCCAUCGAUGCCCUUUGACAAUUGCAAGCUCACUUACUUAUUAACCCAAUAGCAAGCAAGAAAUGAUUUAUGUUAUACAUACCCCAUCGUAUACAUCAUAAAUACGAAGGAGACCAUCUCAAUGAAUCGGCAUCAUUCUCUCGUGUCAGAGUAACAACACGCUACGCCCUGGCUCGAUUGAGCAUCAACACUCAAUUUCCUUAUGAUUUGUGCCGGCAUAUACAGAUAUAUAGUUAUUUCAAUUUUGCACACCAGGUGGCGCUCGUCUGUCUGCUGGCCAGACAACGAGAUCGGCCAUGAGACAGGAGUAACCGAUGCACUCGGAUACGUACAGCCUUGGAGGCGGUGAAAACUGUGAUAACUGAAUGAAAAUAAAUCCGAGAACAGUAGAGAGGUUGUCCGAUAAUGUCAAAGAAGCAACGAAAGGCAAAUACGUUGAGAUCGAUUAGAGAGAAGUAACACGCGACCUUAUUAUUUAUUAUUAUAUAACUUAUUAUAAUAAGACCAACCAGCGUUUCUAUACUGUAAAUUAGAUGUGGGCAUAUUAUGUUGGAUGAACUUGGGCCGUUUGUACUAUUUAGUUUCGAUAUGUCUACGAGUGGUAGCGUUGAGGUAAACUGGCAACAUUGUUUUGCGCUUUAACAGACCUUCGUAUAUAUACAUUUAUGCCUAUAUAUGAAAGCAUGUCUGUUGUUAAGCAUCAGUCGACCGUGCUAUUAUUAUGGCUCAAAAAACGACAAGUAAAAAGGGCAUAUAGCCACAUAAUAAUACUUGAAGCGUGUUGGUUAACUAGGGAUAUUUUUUUCUGUACACGAUUAUAAAGUUAUGGUCAGGCACUUAGAAUAUUCAUAGAGCUAUAACGCUAAGCUUGCAAUAGCAUUCUCAAGGGGGUGCCAGAAUGUAGCUAAACGGCAGAUUUCUUGUUCAAGUUUAGCUAAGUCGUAAAAAAACGCAAAAAAAUGGUUGGUGGUAUUUGCCCCAAGACGUAUAGACAUGCUAUCCGGUGGUUAAGAAAAAAACAAAGUCUUAGCACAUUGUUACAAACCGAGAAGCGCAUCCUUUCCUGAAAGUAUAUUGUAAUUCUGGUCCUAAACGAAGCUUUUUACCUCAUUGGUGGAUUGCGGAGGUCUAUGGACCACUUGUAUCAGUUCAACAUACCCUUUGGAUGAUUGCCUCAGUUAAAUAU